rnacentral:rRNA from 1 species
AUUGAACGCUGGCGGCAUGCCUUACACAUGCAAGUCGAACGGCAGCACGGGAGCAAUCCUGGUGGCGAGUGGCGAACGGGUGAGUAAUAUAUCGGAACGUGCCCAGUCGUGGGGAUAACGUAGCGAAAGCUACGCUAAUACCGCAUACGAUCUAUGGAUGAAAGCGGGGGAUCGCAAGACCUCGCGCGAUUGGAGCGGCCGAUAUCAGAUUAGGUAGUUGGUGAGGUAAAGGCUCGCCAAGCCGACGAUCUGUAGCUGGUCUGAGAGGACGACCAGCCACACUGGGACUGAGACACGGCCCAGACUCCUACGGGAGGCAGCAGUGGGGAAUUUUUGGACAAUGGGCGCAAGCCUGAUCCAGCAAUGCCGCGUGCAGGAUGAAGG